AACGCUGGCGGCGUGCCUAACACAUGCAAGUCGAGCGGGGAACUGUGGAAUGAAGCUUCGGCAGAAUGAAGCAGUUUCUAGCGGCGGACGGGUGAGUAACGCGUGAGUAACCUGCCUAUCACUGGGGAAUAACGCAUCGAAAGGUGUGCUAAUACCGCAUAAGACCACAGAGCCGCAUGGUUCAGGGGUCAAAGGAGCAAUCCGGUAUGAGGUGGACUCGCGUCUGAUUAGAUAGUUGGUGAGGUAAACGGGCUCACCAAGUCGACGAUCGGUAGCCGACCUGAGAGGGUGAUCGGCCACAUUGGAACUGAGACACGGUCCAAACUCCUACGGGAGGCAGCAGUGGGGAAUAUUGCACAAUGGGCGAGAGCCUGAUGCAGCAACGCCGCGUGAGUGAAGAAGGUCUUCGGAUUGUAAAACUCUGUCCUUGGGGAAGAAGAACUGACGGUACCCUUGGAGGAAGCCCCGGCUAACUACGUG
rnacentral:rRNA from 1 species